rnacentral:tRNA from 1 species
GCCGGCAUAGCUAAGUGGUUGAGCAUCAACCUAUGAACCAGGAAGUCAGGGUUCGAUUCCCUGUUAGGGCA